rnacentral:rRNA from 1 species
AGUGAACGCUGGCGGUAGGCCUAACACAUGCAAGUCGAACGGCAGCACAGUAAGAGCUUGCUCUUACGGGUGGCGAGUGGCGGACGGGUGAGGAAUACAUCGGAAUCUACUUUUUCGUGGGGGAUAACGUAGGGAAACUUACGCUAAUACCGCAUACGACCUACGGGUGAAAGCAGGGGAUCUUCGGACCUUGCGCGAUUGGAUGAGCCGAUGUCGGAUUAGCUAGUUGGCGGGGUAAAGGCCCACCAAGGCGACGAUCCGUAGCUGGUCUGAGAGGAUGAUCAGCCACACUGGAACUGAGACACGGUCCAGACUCCUACGGCAGGCAGCAGUGGGGAAUAUUGGACAAUGGGCGCAAGCCUGAUCCAGCCAUACCGCGUGGGUGAAGAAGGCCUUCGGGUUGUAAAGCCCUUUUGUUGGGAAAGAAAAGCAGCAGGUUAAUACCCCGCUGUUCUGACGGUACCCAAAGAAUAAGCACCGGCUAACUUCGUG